UUACAUUCGAGAUCCGACCAUC
rnacentral:siRNA from 1 species